AUUGAACGCUGGCGGCAGGCCUAACACAUGCAAGUCGAGCGGAGGAAGGGAGCUUGCUCCUGGAUUCAGCGGCGGACGGGUGAGUAAUGCCUAGGAAUCUGCCUGGUAGUGGGGGAUAACGUCCGGAAACGGGCGCUAAUACCGCAUACGUCCUGAGGGAGAAAGUGGGGGAUCUUCGGACCUCACGCUAUCAGAUGAGCCUAGGUCGGAUUAGCUAGUUGGUGGGGUAAAGGCCUACCAAGGCGACGAUCCGUAACUGGUCUGAGAGGAUGAUCAGUCACACUGGAACUGAGACACGGUCCAGACUCCUACGGGAGGCAGCAGUGGGGAAUAUUGGACAAUGGGCGAAAGCCUGAUCCAGCCAUGCCGCGUGUGUGAAGAAGGUCUUCGGAUUGUAAAGCACUUUAAGUUGGGAGGAAGGGCAGUAAGUUAAUACCUUGCUGUUUUGACGGUACCAACAGAAUAAGCACCGGCUAACUUCGUG
rnacentral:rRNA from 1 species